rnacentral:rRNA from 1 species
UACGUAGGGAGCAAGCGUUGCCCGGAAUCAUUGGGCGUAAAGCGCGCGUAGGUGGCCUCGUAAGUCCGCUGUGAAAGUCAAAGGCUCAACCUUUGAAAGCCGGUGGAUACUGUGGGGCUAGAGUACGGAAGAGGCGAGUGGAAUUCCUGGUGUAGCGGUGGAAUGCGCAGAUAUCAGGAGGAACACCAAUAGCGAAGGCAGCUCGCUGGGACGUUACUGACACUGAGGCGCGAAAGCGUGGGGAGCGAACAGG